CCUUCUAGCUGCCUCGCAGCCAGCCGGGGAGAGCGGGCAUGAUCCGCGGGCGGGCGCGGCAGCCUGUCGAUGGUCCCGACCAGCAGGCACGAGCGGUGCUAGCUGCCCCCCGCCCAUGCAGCGCGCUUCCAGCCCCCCUCUGCGCCUGUUUCCCGCGCCAGACGAACCUCGCGCAGAGACGCGGUCGCGGCGAAGCGAGGCCGCCCGUCCGACGCGGCAUGGCUUGCCGCGGGGAGGGGGUCGGUCAGAGCACGGCAUCCGGCAAGGCUCCGGGGCAGGUCUCAGCAGGCAGAGACAGACUGAACUGAGCCUGUGCCCAGAGGAGACCCUGCUGAGGUGUGGGAGGUGCCCACGGACGGGAUUCUCAACCUGGUCCCAAUGCAGUGUGUGAUCCCAUCUGGAGUCCUGUCUUCAGUUCUGGGCAUCACAGUUCAAAAAGAAGAGUACAGAUGGGAGUGAGGUCAGAGGAAGAUUACCAAGAUGUACAGGCUACAGGGUCUGGAAAAGACCGUCGAUAAAUGAAGAGGUCCAAGGAAAAAAGGGGGAGUUUUGGCUGAGAGUGGUCCAUCACUCCGGGCAAUAAUUACAUCGCUCUUUUGCAUGCA